CACGUAGUUAGCCGUGACUUUCUGGUUGAAUACCGUCACUGCGUGAACAGUUACUCUCACGCACGUUCUUCUUCAACAACAGAGUUUUACGAGCCGAAACCCUUCUUCACUCACGCGGUGUCGCUCCAUCAGGCUUGCGCCCAUUGUGGAAGGUUCCCUACUGCUGCCUCCCGUAGGAGUAUGGACCGUGCCUCAGUUCCAUUGUGGCCGAUCAGUCUCUCAACUCGGCUAUGCAUCAUUGCCUUGGUAGGCCAUUACCCUACCAACUAGCUAAUGCACCGCGGGCCCAUCCUGAAGUGAUAGCCGAAACCAUCUUUCAAAUGAAAACCAUGUUGGUUUUCGUUGUUAUGCGGUAUUAGCACUGUUUACCAAUGUUACUCCCCCGUCUUCGAGGGCAGGUUGCCCAGUCGUUACCUCACCCGUCCGCCGUCUCACUGGUAACUCCAGUCGUCACUUCAGUGACAGCACGUCAGUAUCAGGUUCGGCAGUGCACUCGA
rnacentral:rRNA from 1 species